AUUGAACGCUGGCGGCAUGCCUUACACAUGCAAGUCGAACGGUGACAGGUCUUCGGAUGCUGACGAGUGGCGAACGGGUGAGUAAUGCAUCGGAACGUGCCCAGUAGUGGGGGAUAGCCCGGCGAAAGCCGGAUUAAUACCGCAUACGACCUGAGGGUGAAAGGGGGGGAUCGCAAGACCUCUCGCUAUUGGAGCGGCCGAUGCCAGAUUAGCUAGUUGGUGGGGUAAAGGCCUACCAAGGCAACGAUCUGUAGUUGGUCUGAGAGGACGACCAGCCACACUGGGAAUGCGACACGGCCCAGACUCCUACGGGAGGCAGCAGUGGGGAAUUUUGGACAAUGGGCGGAAGCCUGGUCCAUCAAUGCCGCGUGCAGGAGGAAGGUCUCCGGGUUGUAAACUGCUUUAGGCAGGGAAGAAAUCUUCUGGGUUAAUACCUCGGGAGGAUGACGGUACCUGAAGAAUAAGCACCGGCUAACUACGUGCCAGCCGCCGCAGUAAAAC
rnacentral:rRNA from 1 species